GUGGGUUCGAGCCCCACGUUGGGCGCU
rnacentral:piRNA from 4 species